rnacentral:lncRNA from 1 species
ACGCAACUUUUCACAUAAAUGAGAGUAAUGCAUGUAACACAAUUGGCCGUGCGUUUUAUGAAUACGAUCUGGAGUUCUUAAUUAGUUGCACAAUUUGCAAUUUGCAAUUUGCAACUAAUUUGAACCUAAUUAGUGACAUGGAAACCUUUGUGGUAGGUGAAACACAAAACCAAGUCAAGGGCCUUCACGCGCCAAGCCAGUUUAAUUUUUCCUUCCGUUACAGUGUCCACGUGGACCGUAACUGAGCUGCGUUCACAUUAAUAUGAGCUGUUUUUUAGAUUGACAAAUUCUUGACAUGCAGGCAAAGUAUUAGCAGCUUUUUAGCCUUUUUUUUUAUUGGCAAAACAAAUAAAAGUUAUAGCAGUUACACGUUGAAAGAGUCAAAUUUUUACCUCAAAAGAAGAUAAAAUAUUAGUGAAUGUUACACUGUGGUUGGACUCACAAAAAUCUAGUUUUGAACUCUAUUAGUUUCUUUUUCCUUGUUUUUUUGUUUCAUCAUUUUUUUUUCUUAUUAAAGCAACAUCAAGUGUAUAUUACGGAUAAAAGAAUAAAAGAAUUUUUUUUACACAUACAAGUAGCUUAUGAAGGAAAUUUUGUGAAAAACAUGUUCAUUUGAGCAACAUCUAUGGCAUGCAAUUAACAAUUAAAGGCGGAAUCAUGCUUGUAUGCACUCAAAAACAAAAUAUUACUCAUGAAAUUCAAAGCCUAGUAGAAGGGUGAACCAAGACUCAACUCAAGAACAAAAUGAGUUGAGAAAUCUUAUACCUUUGUUGAUUCCUCUUUGCAUAAGCAAAGGCUAAUCACCCAAGGAGAGGGCAUUAAUUCCUUGCUUCUUAGCUCCAUGGAUUUCUUGAAUGAGGAUGGUUGAAAGGAUUCUCCAAGUUCCCAAAGUUGAGAACCUCUAAUUUUUCCAUACCAAGGAGAGACUCGAAGAAGAGAUGAGUGACAUUGGAGAAGGGAAGAUUGCUAGCUAAUCUCCUCCAAGGGGGCCGGCCUCCUAGAGAGAAAGGGAGAGACAUUGUGUUCUCAUCUUUUCUCCAAAAGAAACCCUAAUGAAGAAAAUGCUAUAAAGUCAUAUUUAUAUUUACCUUCAUUGGAGUGGCAAACUUGUAAUAAGUCCAAAACCCACUCCUUUAUCAAUAUGGCUGGCCAUAGGGUUUUAUUGGGCUGUUUGGGCCUUUGUGAAUUAUUAGUCAUUAAGUUGUCAUACAAGUUAAGUCAAUGGGCUUGACGUUCGAAGCCCAUUGGGCCUUGAGGCCCAAAAUUAACCCGAGGUCUAAAACGAACUUUAUUCGUUUGAUUAAUUAACAUAUUAAUUAAUUCUUGCCAUAAAUAAUUAAACCAUUUAAUCAUCCUUACUCAUCUCCGUUGUUUCUUCAAUCUCUACCUUACACGGUGUACGAUCCAUUAGGUUCCUUUUAGCGAGGCAGUGGGCGAUUAGAACUUUUUCAAAUCGAUUGUGAACUGAAACUUACUUUCAAUUCUCCCUUUAGUGAUUAUACAUGUUUAGGACUUCCACAAACCAUGAGUGACACCUAGCAGUAUGUCAUGGUUACCUAAGCUAAUCAGAAGAGGUGGAGAACCUAUUCAGUUUAGGAUUACAAUGCAAUACGGUCUUUCUCUAAUACAAUACUCUUGACCACAUUGUUUGGUUUGGUAGUUUAUUCAUGUCUACUAUCCAAUGCGAUUCAUUUACUUAUAUGAUUACCUUGAAUGUGAUUUGGAACAACUUCCUUAAAUUUCAUUCAUACUUUGGCCAGAGAUUCUUAAUCAUAUCAUAGAGUAUUCUCCCUCAAAUAGUUUGAAGGUUAGAGAUCCCUUGUUGUGCAUUCACUUGCCUCCAUGGCUAAGUGGCUUAACCCCAACUAUGUCGUGGACACCCUCGGAUGGAGUGACUUUGACAUAGUCAAAGAUCAAUGACCUAACCACAAGACAACUAUGAUGCCUUAAGUCAAAUGACUACUUUGCAUUAUCCCAACCAUGAGUUCUCAUGUGACAUGAGUAUGAGAACUCCUUGUUGAUCGCGUUUAGUGAACUCAUUCUCUAUUGAGCACCUACGUACUUGUCUUGGUGUCAGUCACACCAAUGACUUAAGACCAGUCACUCUCCUUAAGAGAAAAUAUAACACGUACUGAUCUUAACGGACUGUCAAUGCCCAAUUGGCAAUUCUAUGAUCAGGAUCCUUUAGGAUAUGUAUACGAAAGAGAAUGGUCUCAUGAAUCUAACUUCUUUAGAUCGCAUUCUCCCAAUUACAUAUUUCUUGGACUUAUCGUUUAAGCGUAUAACAUUUAUAUGAGACGGCUUCAAACAAUAAUCUUUGCCCUUUAAAUUAAACUAUAUUAGUUUAACAUGUGAAAUGUCCGUAAAGUAUCAUCAUAUGAUUAGUUUUAGGGCACAUUUCCAACAGCUUAGUUGGUUAAUUAUUUGUUAAUUUGUAACUUAUGUAAUAUGUGUCAAAUUACUUAAACUAAUGUUGAAUUUGAUUCCAAUAAAGAAGUUCAUGUGUUAGUUUUUUAGUAUGUACAUAUAUAGGUGGUUUUAGCCCUGAAAAAUAUAAAUGGUCUGAAAUUGAGCUACUCUGAGAGCAAUUCCAGUGUGUAAAGGCUCCUCAUGGCAAUUAGCAAUUGAAUCCCCUACAGUGAAUAGUAACUACCUUUAAUGAACUGUAAUUGUCUUUUGCAUCUCCAUU